rnacentral:rRNA from 1 species
GAUGAACGCUGGCGGCGUGCCUAAUACAUGCAAGUCGAACGAGGUGCUUUUGUAGCAAUACGAGAGUAUCCUAGUGGCGAACGGGUGAGUAACGCGUUGGUGACCUGCCCCAAAGUGAGGGAUAACAGUCCGAAAGGAUUGCUAAUACCGCAUGUGGUUAUCGGGUUUAGAAACCGAUAACUAAAGAAGCAAUUCGCUUUGGGAGGGACCUGCGUCCCAUCAGCUAGUUGGUGAGGUAACGGCUCACCAAGGCGACGACGGGUAGGGGACCUGAGAGGGUGACCCCCCACAAUGGAACUGAAACACGGUCCAUACACCUACGGGUGGCAGCAGUAGGGAAUAUUGCACAAUGGGCGAAAGCCUGAUGCAGCAACGCCGCGUGUGCGAUGAAGGCCUUCGGGUCGUAAAGCACUUUUCUGCGAGAUGAGAAAGGACAGUAUCGUAGGAAUAAGUCUCGGCUAACUACGUGCCAGCAGCCGCGGUAAAAC